rnacentral:rRNA from 1 species
UACGAAGGGGGCUAGCGUUGCUCGGAAUCACUGGGCGUAAAGGGUACGUAGGCGGACCGUUAAGUCGGGGGUGAAAUCCUGGAGCUCAACUCCAGAACUGCCUUUGAUACUGAGGAUCUUGAGUUCGGGAGAGGUGAGUGGAACUGCGAGUGUAGAGGUGAAAUUCGUAGAUAUUCGCAAGAACACCAGUGGCGAAGGCGGCUCACUGGCCCGAUACUGACGCUGAGGCACGAAAGCGUGGGGAGCAAACAGGG